rnacentral:rRNA from 1 species
UACGGGGGGAGCAAGCGUUGUUCGGAUUUACUGGGCGUAAAGGGCGCGUAGGCGGUCAGCACAAGUCAGUUGUGAAAUCUCCGGGCUUAACUCGGAAAGGUCAACUGAUACUGUGCGACUAGAGUGCGGAAGGGGCAACUGGAAUUCUCGGUGUAGCGGUGAAAUGCGUAGAUAUCGGGAGGAACACCAAUGGCGAAGGCAGCUCGCUGGGACGUGACUGACGCUGAGACGCGAAAGCGUGGGGAGCAAACAGG